UACGGAGGGUGCGAGCGUUGUCCGGAAUUACUGGGCGUAAAGCGCGCGUAGGUGGUUCAGCACGUUGAAGGUGAAAUCCCCGGGCUCAACCUGGGAACUGCCUCCAAAACUACUGAGCUAGAGUACGGUAGAGGGUAGUGGAAUUUCCUGUGUAGCGGUGAAAUGCGUAGAUAUAGGAAGGAACACCAGUGGCGAAGGCGGCCUUCUGGACAGUGACUGACGCUGAGACGCGAAAGCGUGGGGAGCAAACAGG
rnacentral:rRNA from 1 species